rnacentral:rRNA from 1 species
UACGUAGGCAGCGAGCGUUGUUCGGAGUUACUGGGCGUAAAGGGUGUGUAGGCGGUUGUUUAAGUUUGGUGUGAAAUCUCCCGGCUCAACUGGGAGGUGCGCCGAAUACUGAGCGACUAGAGUGCGGGAGAGGAAAGUGGAAUUCCUGGUGUAGCGGUGAAAUGCGUAGAUAUCGUGAGGAAGACCAGUGGCGAAGGCGGGUCUCUGGACAGUUCCUGACACUGAGGCACGAAGGCCAGGGGAGCAAACGGG